GCGGGAUUAGUUUAAUGGUAGAACAUCAGUUUUCCAAACUGAUAGCGGGAGUUCGAUUCUCCCAUCCCGCA
rnacentral:tRNA from 1 species